GCUCCAUUUUGAGAAUUUCCUCUCACCGGAGGGCAAUCUUCUUCGAUCUCGCACGCACAAACACGCACUUUUGGGUGUCUAAAUUUCCUCAAACUCAAACCCUAAUCCUCAAUUGCGAUCUCCAUCUCUAUACCUCUGUGUUACUGUGAAGAAGAAUUUGAAUUGUAGGGGUUAAUCGAUGAUCAAAGGCACUGUGACUUCUUGAAUUGAAGUCACGGUUUUGGAAGAGAAUGAGCUGUGUGGUGAAAUCCUGAGAACAAUUCGUUGUUAUUAUUGCUAGAAACGCCAUGUGGUUCUCCUUUUGGAGAUCCAGAGAGCGAUUCUCCUUGGAUGAAUUCAGAUUUUUGACUGAUCAGCUGAUGAAAGUUCAAGUUGUUAAUGAGGUCAACAAGGAUUUUGUGAUUGAGGCACUAAGAUCAAUUGCGGAGUUGAUAACAUAUGGUGAUCAACAUGAUGUGGCCUAUUUUGAGUUUUUCAUGGAGAAGCAGGUGAUGGGGGAGUUUGUACGUAUAUUAAGAAUUAGUAGAACUGUUAUUGUGUCGCUUCAGUUGCUGCAGACGAUGAGUAUUGUGAUCCAAAACUUAAAAAAUGAGCAUUCUAUUUAUUACAUGUUUAGUAAUGAGCACAUUAAUCACCUUAUAACAUAUUCUUUUGACUUUCGUAAUGAAGAGCUUUUGUCUUAUUACAUAUCCUUUCUUAGAGCAAUAAGUGGAAAGUUGAACAAAAACACCAUUUCCCUUCUUGUGAAGACUGAUAAUGAAGAAGUAGUAUCAUUUCCACUCUAUGUUGAGGCCAUACGCUUUGCGUUUCAUGAAGAAAGCAUGAUUCGAACUGCAGUACGUGCAUUAACCUUGAAUGUUUAUCAUGUUGGCGAUGAGGCUGUUAACAAAUUUGUUGCCAGUGAUCCUCAUGCCGAUUAUUUCUCAAAUUUGGUCAAAUUUUUCCGGGAGCAAUGCAUCAACUUGGACAAGUUGGUUAAUGCUUCAAAGUGUAUGGGUCCAGCUACCAGUGGUUCUAUCCUUUCAUCUGUUGAUGAGAUUGAGGAUAACCUCUAUUACUUUAGUGAUGUUAUUUCAGCAGGGAUUCCAGACAUUGGGAGGCUAAUAACAGACCUCAUGUUGAAGGUGCUGAUAUUUCCAUCAGUACUUCCUUCUUUACGGAUGGAAGUUGUUAAAGAUAGUGAUGCAGGAAUUGGAACCGCAACUUCCUUGUAUUUACUUUGUUGCAUCUUGCGCAUUGUUAAGAUAAAAGAUUUGGCAAAUAUUGUUGCUGCUGUUCUUCUUUGUGAUAUAGAAACAUUCGUCCCAAUGUCUGAAGCUAAACUGAAUGGUUUCAUGGUUAACCAUGAUAUGUCACAUGAAAAUCAAGAUUCAGAAAAUAGUGGCUUCAGAUCAGAUUCUGAUGGUCAAAGUUUACGGGUUUUAAUUCCGAACAUAUCCAGCUCCUUAAAUAGUCACCCAGAAGACGACAGUUCUCAACCAGAUCAUGGGAGCACAUAUUCUGCGUUAAGGGAGGCCUUACUUUCUUAUAUUACUACUGGUGACGACGUUCAAGUUUCGGGUUCUUUAAGCAUGUUGGCUACACUAUUGCAGACUAAAGAGCUGGAAGAAUCAAUGCUUGACGCUCUUGGAAUUCUUCCACAAAGAAAACAACAGAAGAAACUCUUGUUGGUAUGUUGCUGCCGUAAAGAAGCUUUGGUUGGUGAAGGAUCUGCGGAAGAGCAACUUUUUUCCUCAGAAAAUAUGGUAAAGGAUGGAAUAGGUAGUGAAAUGGAUUGCUACUUCCAAAAGUUGAAGGAGAAAUACGGAUUGCUAUGCGUGUGCAAGGAAGUUACAGUGACUCCUCGUAGACAGAGAUUUCAAGUACUCGAUGCAUUGGUCAGUCUAUUCUGCAGGUCAAAUAUCUCUGCAGAAACAUUGUGGGAUGGUGGUUGGCUUUUGCGCCAGUUGCUUCCAUACAGUAAGGCGGAUUUUAGAAGUCAUCAUCUUGAAUUAUUGAAAGAUACAUUCCACAAUUGUACUAGCUGUAUUCUUGAUGAAACAAAAGGAAGUUGGCCUGAUCUGCUAAUUAUGGUACUAUGUGAUGAGUGGAGGAAGUGCAAAAGAACUAUUGAAGCUUCUUCUCCAAGGAAAGAUCCUAAAUCAAUGCUUUUGCCAGCACACAAGUCCCUUUCUGAAGAAGUUGCUUCUGGGGAAUCAUCUUUUGCUGCUGGUGAAAGAUUGUUCGAGAUUGUCAAGGUGUUUGUACUACUUCAUCAGCUUCAUAUUUUUUCAGAAGGAAAAUUGUUGCCCGAUCAACCUCCUAUACAUCCUACAGUUGAUGUCAUGGAAACAUCCCGAGCAAAAAGGGCUGGCAUUGACAGUUUGGGUCCAAAACAAAGCGCUGAAUUAAGUCUUGUUGAUGCGGUUCCUUGUAGAAUUGCAUUUGAGAGGGGCAAAGAACGUCAUUUCCACUUUCUAGCCAUCACUAUAGGAACCUCUGGAUGGCUUAUCCUUGCUGAUGAAUUACCUGUGAGGCCAAGCUUUGGUGUGGUUCGUGUAGUUGCACCUCUGGGUGGUUGCAAUCCCAGAAUUGACGAGAAGCACAUGAGAUGGUUACACCUUCGAAUACGUCCAUCCUCUUUCCCUUGCAUAGAUGGUGCAAAGCAUACAGCCCAUCCUAAAGUCAAGUCAAAAGCUUUGGUCGAUGGGCGGUGGACUCUGGCUUUUCGAGAUGAAGAUUCUUGCAAAGCUGCUUUUUCUAUGAUUGUUGAAGAGCUCAAGUUACUGAGUAGUGAGGUUGAGAGAAGAAUAAAACCUAUGCUUGCCAUUGAAAGAACUAUUGACACUUCAACAAAAUAGAUUCAGGUGUCAUGAGAGUACGUCUACAAGAAUAUGACCAUAUAGGGAUUUUUGAGAUUUUCACCAGUUUGAUAUUUCAUUUUCUCUCCCUCUCUACCCCAAUAUCAUUUUACAGCAGGUGGUGGAGAUAAUAUUAAAGCUUUACCACCCUUUUGUACAUGUUAAAGGAAGCCCUAGGUGUCUGUAAAUUAGAGUAUGUGAUAGUGCCCAUUCUUGUAUAUUAGGUUACUUUUAUCAUUUCUGAUUUAUUAACUUCACUAUUAUGUAUGGUCAAUUUUUUAGUUCUUUGAAUCCUCCUUCCUCACAUAUGUAAAGAUGUUGUAGCAACUCUGCAAAAUGUAAAAGUUGUGACUUGUGAGA